UACGAAGGGGGCUAGCGUUGUUCGGAAUUACUGGGCGUAAAGCGCGCGUAGGCGGACAUUUAAGUCAGGGGUGAAAUGCCGGGGCUCAACCUCGGAACUGCCUUUGAUACUGGGUGUCUGGAGUUCGGGAGAGGUGAGUGGAAUUCCGAGUGUAGAGGUGAAAUUCGUAGAUAUUCGCAAGAACACCAGUGGCGAAGGCGGCUCACUGGCCCGAUACUGACGCUGAGGCACGAAAGCGUGGGGAGCAAACAGGG
rnacentral:rRNA from 1 species